GUUUUUACUCUCGGGGUGUAAGGUACCGGACUUCGAAAAUCAUGAGGUUACGGUGUACGUUCGAUUGGAAAGCCAUUUAAAUGGUUCCGGUGAGGCUGCGGUGGAAUGUAGCAUACCGGAUCUUUAAUAUAAAAGUGAAAAUAAAUAAAAAUAGUGUGAGAUACUAUUUUUAUUGGAUUUAGAGAAGUAAAACAUAAGUCAGAAGUGACUUGUGCUGAAAUCGGGAUGAAAACAGAAGAUCUAGAAUUUUCUGUUGGAAACGGGACAGAAAAAUUAACAGAAAUUGCACAGUCUCAGAAAAUUAUGAAAAUUGGAGGAUAAGUCAGAAAUAUUUUUAUGAGGCUAGAUUUAAGGUUUCAUAUUUUUCUGACACCCGUAGAGUGAGAAUAAAAUCCGACAGUCAUCUGAUAAAGAUUACAGUUCGGUACAGCUUUCGGUGACCAAACGGGGUCGAAACUGAAAUAUUAAAAUUUCUUUGGACUCUUUAAGUAAAACCGAAUAUGACUGUCAAAUUUGAGCUCAAACGGAUACUCUGAGAGCUCCGGCGAAAGAUAUCAGAUUUGGAGCUGCCUGAUGUGAAUAGUGUAUGCUACUAUUGAGGGUUGACUAUAAGUAGAAGCUACUAGGCUUCUCCCUCUCCAUCAGCCGACCACCAUCACCACUACCAUACGUUCAUGGUGAAGUGAGAGAAACUCUCCCUUUUCUCUCUCUAAAUAUCUCUCUCAUCUCUCUAUAUUUCUCGCCCAAAUUCGCGGCGUUGGUGGAGAUCGAGCUUGCGAACGCGUUGGAGGCGACGGAUUGAGCUUUCGUGCGCCCGUUGGAGCGACGUGUUUUCGUUGCGGCGUUCACAUUGGGGUAAGCUUUUGGGAUUUGGCUUAAUCCUUAGCUUUAAGAGUUCUAGUAGCCUCUAAUGAGCAUUCUUAGCAUGUUGCUCCAUUUAAUUUGGAUUAUUUGGGGGUAAUUGCAUGUUAGGGCUCAAAAAUGGGAUUUUUCAAUAUGUGAGGGUUUGAUCUAAUUUGACCCUUCGUAAACCUAAUUGCAAGGUAAACGAACGCGUUGGCGAAGUCGGUUCGGCGAUUCGUCGAGCCGGUGCAAAGUUAUUAAAGAAACGGACGUUUAGGCUUCGUUUCCGCCUGGAGGGCCGAGGCGACGUCGUAAAAUCCUGGAAACGGAUUUGAAGCAUCGUAAUAGGAAACCGAAGACCUUUAAUUUUCGGAUCGCGGAUCGGAGGUUGUUUGGUGGUCGCGCGCGCGGGUUGGGUCGAGCCAAGCGGCGUGCGCCGCAGGAGGCCGAUUGCGAGUGACGACGAGCAAUCGGAACGCGAUAAAAGGUGGGUGGUGUCCAUCCCGACGCAACCGGGCUCCCUUUUAUGUCUAAGUUUUAUAUUGAUCAAAUUGCAUAUUGACAUAUUGACAUCUUGCAUUAUAGGGUGAUAAAUGAUGGUUUGGUCCUAUACCUUGCAUGUUCUUUGGUAGAAUAAUGUAUUUGGCUUAAUACUUAUAUCUAGCAUGCUUGAGGUUUAUAUAUGUGAUGUGGAACCCUAUAAUGAGAUGAUAAGUGUGGAUGGGAAUUUAAUAAUGCAUUGGCUAUUGCAUUGGAAACUUGUAAAGAACGAGUGGCAUCUAGUUGAUAGUAAACAAAAGAACAAGAGGCAUAUGUGAGUCAUAGUGUAUAUGAAACCUAUGGACUCUAUGAUGGUUGUAACCCUAGAGGAUAGGGUAUUCUUGAGACGAGAAUUGGAUCAUGCUCACGGUCUGUUUUAAAUCUUGUGAUGGAAGCCCCACACAAGUAGUGCGCUCCGGAGUUGGUCACGUGGGAUCGCCUAUUUUGGGUCCCAAGGGAUUGCCUAUUAUGGCCCCGGCAGACGGUCUCGGUUCGUAGUGCGAGUUGACCCUCCCUACCUUCGAGAUGGCUAGUGAGCAGUAGGCUCCUUCAGGGAGGCCACGAGAUUAAGAAACAAGUAAAUGAGAUUGGUGAACGAGUAAAUAACUUUACCUUUGGACAUGAUAAUGGGAUUGUUGUUUAUCCAUUUCAUUGUACAUGCAUUCAUAUAUUUAUGAUUGGGCAUAGUAGCGUAGCUUUACUGCUGUCAUUUACCGCUUUCCUUAUCUAUCUAUCUAUCGAUUAUCUACUUGUGCCCAACUUGGACCUAGUGGGGAGAUCGGCGGAGUCGGCGGCCGAACCCACUGGGAACUAAGGAAGUUAGUUCUCACCCCCAUUUUACUACAGGGCCGAGCGCGAGUUCACACGGCGAGGAUCGUGGUAAGGGCCUAGCGCUCUAAUUGCAUUAGUUUACUUUCCUACUUCUGCAUUAGAGUUACCUUUAUAUACAUUGAGAGUAGAUGAUGUAUAGGUUGUGAGCUAUUUUGGGAUGAAUGUAAGUAGUGUUUAUAUUUUGGAAGAUGUAAGCUUUAUAAUAUGUUUAGAAGCUUAAUGUAUAAUCAAAUUGUAUUAUAAAGGCUGAAUGAAUGUAAUAGAUAGAUGUUCCUCUCUUUAUCAUUACUUGUAUGUUCUAUACUUGUAUCUUGCUCUUGGUUGUUUUGCACCGAUUGUGCUCUCGUUGUAAUUAUCGAUUGGGUAUGUAUUCAAGUUAUUUUCCUGGGAACUUGUUGUACACAAUCUCGUUGUUAGCCUUGGGCGGACAGGGGAGGUGCUGUCCGUCCGGCGUCUGUUCGACGCGCCCGGGCCGAGCCAAAUUGGUAGCGGUCGCGGGGCGUGACACGGGGACCGGUCCCUGGCUGGGAGAGACUGGUCCCCUCCCCCCCCCCCGGAACAGUAUUGCGGCAGCCUUGAGGCAACCGGUCCCUGGCGGGUGAGACCGGUCCCCGAGCGCGUCCACGCGGGGAGAGACCGGUCCCGUGCGGGGAGAGACCGGUUCCCGAACGUCGGAUUUUCGGGGCAGGCCGAGAGACCGGUCCCAUGUCGGGGAGACCGGUCCCUCAGUCCAAAAACUGCCCAGUCCGGACUGUUGCAAUAUUGGAAAAUUGAGGGGCCUCUUUGGAUUUUGUUGCAUUUGAUGGCCUAUAUGGCCAUUUCACCCUCUCCCUUUUCUCAUUUCUCUUUCUCUCAUUCUCCCAACACCCUAGAGAGAAGAAGGAGAAGAAGGAAGAGAAGAAGAAGAAGAAGGAGAAGAGGAGGAGGAGGAUCUAGCUUGCGGAUUUGGAGCAUUUUCCUCUCCUUCUCUUCCCACCUUGUUGGUGCUUGGAGGCUUGGUCUUGGAGCUUGCAAGAGAGGAGAUCUUCACCCUUGGAGCUUGGAUUGGAGCUUCUAAGGAGGUUAGUUGCUUAUUUCUUCCCUCUAGACCAUGUUUUGUUGGUUUUUAGGAGAUGAAACCCUAGAAUAAGGUUUUAGGGUUGAUUUUGGGCAUUUUGAUUUUAGGGCUUUUGGAGCUCAAUUUCUUGGAUUGGAACCUUCCUCUAGGUUCCAUUGGAAGGGUCCUAGCUUUCUUUUAGAGCUUGAGAGAGAUUUUCUACUCCUUAGGUGAGUUUUUGUCCCUUUACUUGUGGUGGUUAAUGUUUGAGCCUAGAGUUGCUCGUAAUGUUUGUUUAUCUCUUCGCUCCUUACUUUUAGGGUACUUAGAGACUUGUGGACAACUCCGUUCGGCGAAACGAAGGGUUUCGAAACGGUUCAGUGGGUUUGACCUAGCCUAGCAUAUGAGAAAUUCUCAUAUCCUAUGUUUUAUGCUUCGUAGAGUAAAAAUUCAUGCAUUUUCAUGAUAAAUGUAAUUAUUGUGAAUUUUAAGAUGCUUAACAUGCUUAUGUUAUGUGUGAUGAUUUUCGAACCUCUAUGUAGUAGAGAACUAGCAUGUGGAACUUGUACAUGACUGGCACCCUAUUGAGACUUGGAAUCAUAAUUUCUAUUGUGAAAAUGAGCAUUACUUGCAUGCAUUUAAAGCUAUUCCUACUUGAGACUUAAAGGAUCUUAGUAAGCCAUAAAGAGGCUCGGAGACUUGUAUUACUUGUCAAUAAUUGGGCUAAUGUCAUAAAGGGGCAUUGAGCUCGGGUUAAAUGAGAACCUAGUACUAAUGUCAUGAAUGGAACAUAGAUUAUGAAACGUGUUAACUUAUAACAAGCUUAAGUGCCAUAAAGCGGCACUUAGCAUAGUGAGUGUUGGAACAUCACUUUGAGACAUAGAACUGGAUUUUUGAGAUGCUAGUGACUUUUACCAUAUUAGAGACAUGAUGAUUGGGUAUUUGAGACGUUGACUACACUUGUUUGCCAUUUGUGCUCAUUCGUACAUGCUUGUGAGGGUCGCUCACUACAAGCCGGCACUCCGGAGUUGGCCUAUGCGACUUAUGUUCGAUCCCGCGGUAUCGAGAAACCUACGGGGUCGGGAGGGAUAGACUCAUUCCUAGAGUGGGAAUGCUGGAGCUACCACCGACACUUAGGUGGCACAAGCUGGACUACACUAUGUAGGUCCCAGAACAUGUUGGAAACAAUGACAUUGAACCGGGAAAUGACUAUCACUACUAGAUAGGCUUAGUAGUUUGAUUACCUUGACAUGCUUAUAGCAUAGUGUUGGAACUUGUAGUACACAUGAUAGUCUUAUUUGUUGUAUCAUAGUAUACUUUGCAACCAUGAUAGAGCAUAUUCAUCAUACAUUGAUAUAGUGGAUCAUGAUACCUACUUGCUCGUUAUGUUUAGAUAUACUAGUCAUGCUUGGACAUACUUCAUUUUGACAAAGUAGAUGUACAAUACAUUUGACAUCAUGUUUAUUUGCGACAUAGUAGUUUAGCAUUUUAAUCAUGCUUCCAUAAAUGCAAUCCAUUUAUUAUUAUUGUUGCUUUUUGGACUUACCAUUUUUUUUUGGGGCCUAGUGGUGCAUUGAGCUGAGGUCAGUAAUUGCCCACUGAAAACUAUAAAUUAUAGUUCUCACGCCCUCUUUUUCUUGAUGUUAUUUCAGAGCCUUCCACGCCGGGAGAAGUUAGGGACCGCGGAAAGAGUAUCGUCCCGAGCUAGCUUGCUUCUAGGGACGUGUUGAUAGGUGGUCUACCUCUCAUUGUUUUCUUUUUGGAAAGGUUGAGGGUUGUACCAGUGUAUUAGAGACCACCGUUUUGUGUACUUUUGAGAUGAUUAUUGUAUAAGAGACCACCGUUUUGUGUACUUUUGAGAUGAUUAUUGUAUAACUUUAUGUUUCCUCUUUAUUACUUAGUUGUUCCAUCUACUCAUAUCAUAGAUUAUAGUUGUGUAUUUGCUCUGAUAUCUCUCUAGUUGUAGAUCAUUUCUUGCUUUAUUUUCGCUGUUGUUGUAGACGCCUUAUAUAUGUAGACAUAUGGCGGGUCUGGGCGCGCUACCGGGAGGGCCUCUGCCGGUCCCGGCGCGUGACAGAUUAGUUUGGUAUCAGAGCCUAGGGUUGAGUCUUAGAGGACCUAGCAAACCUUAGGCCGGUUGGACUAUAGGAUAUAGGUUCGUGAGAGACGAGAUCUAUUUGACUCGUAAGCGAAAGUAUUUUAAUUGGGUUUUAUGAUAACUCUAAAAAGUUGGAGUUGGAUCGGAGUGUAUGGCUUCUAACUUUGCAGAGGGUUACGUUGGCGGCCGACAACGUAACAUCGGGAGUUAGUUGUAGAUAACACUUACUUACUUUUGCAUGAUUUGGGUAUUGUUAUUUGAGCGGGGAUUCGACAGCGGGGGUUACUAACUUACGCUUUUAUGAUAUUGUAGUGACGAUACCGAUUACGCGCUCUCAAUCUGUUGGAGCGGACGAUGCAGCACACCUCGAGGAGGUCGAAACCUCCGCGACUUCCGGAUCUAGCGAGGUCCACGACUUGAGGUCCCAGCUUGCGGUCCUCACUGACCUUGUAGCACAGCAGGCGGUGGCCGCUCAGCGACAGGCCGAAGUGGCACAGCGGCAGGAGGCACGGAUGAAGCACCUGGAGGAUCUCUUGCUAUAGCAGGCAGCAGCUUCUAGAGAGACUCAGGUUCCCACACCGCCAGCACCCGUAGUGGACGUCGUGCUGAGGGCGCAAUCCCCCGCACCCAGUUCUUCGCGUGCGGCACCUGCGACCGCACCUCGGGAGGAAGUGGUCGCAGCACCACCGGUUCAGAUACCUGCGGCGAGGGCAGCUUUCCCUGUGAUGGCCGAGGGAGCCGAGAGGGAUCGGCUCAUGGAUCGCCUCAGCGAGUUCAGGAGGUGCAGUCCGAGGAUCUUUGACGGCGAGAAGGUCGACCACUGGAUUGUUGAGAAGUGGUUGAUGCACAUGGAGAAGCUUUUUCGAGAUACCUAUGUUGAGGAAAGGGAUAGAGUUUGGCUCGCCACACAUCACUUGGAUGGCGAGGCCUAUUGUUGGUGGUUGGAUAUCCAGGACAACCCCAACACUGAUUUGGCAGCAAUUUCUUGGGCGAGGUUCAAGGAGCUUCUUCUGGCACACUACUUCCCUACCAGCUUCAAGAGGAAGAUGGAGCAGGACCUGCGCAUCUUGCGCCAGGAGGAGCGGACAGUGGCCGAGAACGAGAAAGAGUUUUCUCGGCUACUUCACUGUAUACCCUUCGUAGUGCGGGACGACGAGGACAAGACCCGCAUUUUUUAGCGUGGAUUGCGGCCUUCGAUCUUUCGGUUGGUGCCCUAGGUUUGCACCUAUAGCAAACCACCCAAUCAAAACCUUAGAUUCUAGCAUUAAUCUAUUUAGAAGCAUGCUAGAGGUCCAAUCGACCCAUUUCAAAAGCUCAAAGCCCAAAAAUCCUAAGUUCUACAAGCUAGGGUUUGUAGCUUACCUCUUGAGCUACACCAAUGGAAAGAGGAGAGGGAGAGGGAGAUGUUCAAAGCCUUCUCCUUGAUCUACUUCUUCUUCUCCACCUUCUUCUCCUUCUUCUUUUUUCUUUUUCUUCUUCUCCUCCUUCUCUUCUUCCUUUUCUUUCUUUUCUAGAGAGAGAGAGAGGGAGCAAGAGAGAGUGUGAGAAAAAGAAAGAAUGAGAGGCUGAGGGAGAAAGAGGGGGCCUACAUACCCCUCUAAUGUAACAAAAUCCAAUUUAGCCCCUCAACUUUUCAUCUCUUAACCUGCCUUCACUAGGCAGUUUUCGCCCAGAGGGACCAGUCCCUCGUCGGGGAGACCGGUCCCCGAGAGCAGUCCCCCCGGCCAGAAGGCCUCUUCGUGUACGGAAACCCGUCUCUCCCCGGGGAGACCGGUCCUCGGGAGACCGGUCCUCUCCUGAGAGACCGGUCCCCGAGAGCUCGAUUUUCAGGACUUAGCCAAAUUUCGCUCUGUCUCGCGGGUUUCACCUACGGGGACCGAUCCCCCAGCCCAGGGACUGGUUGCAUCAAGCAACCCCGCAACCCUCAGCUACGGGGACCGGUCCUCCCUUAUAGGGACCGGUCCCCGAGAGCAAAAACUGCUAAGUUCAGAUUUUUGCGUAUUUGCUCUCGCGGACAUGUUUCCAAUGCACUCUUUGUGUCUUGGACAUCUUUAGCUUUCCCGAAGGAUACUCACUCGACAAUUAGUCGAUCCUGGAUGAAGUGCAACUCUCGGAUUUCGAGAAUUCACUUCUUUACAGUCAUAUUGAGCUUGAUAGAAAUAUGCGCUAUGACACUCGGUAAGGGUCGCUCCCCUUCGAGUGCCGCUCCACUAGCUGGUUAGUGUUAGCAGAGACAGUAGCUUAUGUGUUGACGAGUGCUCCUGCGAGAUUGUGAUUCGGGCAAUAGGCAAGCGCAGGCUUGACCGAACAUAUGAGUCGAUCAUUGCGAUUGAGUACGAUUUCAGCAUUUAUUUAUUAGUAUUAGAAUUGAUGCAUGUAUUAGUCAUCUUUUCUCCUAUUCAUUGCAUGUGUAGAGGCAUGAUAGUUUAUUAGAUGUAUAUCAUUCAUAUUAUGCUUCGUUACUCGUCCUAGGGCAUUCCUUACUAUAUUUUUGUAUGUUUGCCUAUAGUAUACUGAGUGGGAAGGCCAUGGUUGUCACCGACCGUACUCACUGGAAACUACUAUUUAGUAGUUUUCACGCUCUCUUGUGGUUUACUUUUCAGAAAUAUUUGCACCAACGAUUGAUUGGGGUAAGGGGAUCGCACUGUAGAUAACAUCUCCUACCUAUGUACAUAAGCAAUAGAGAAGUACCCAGCUAGAUAACUUUUGAAUUAUGUACUGUAUUUUAGGACUGGUGAGGCAAUGACCUUUUAUUUGUCUUUUAUUUUGGAGUUGUGAUUAUAUGAUUUUAUGUACAGUGAUAUUUAGUUGAUAGUUCAGUUUUUAUCUUGCUCUGCUACUUGAUUGUUUAGUAGUGGACUCCUAGGACUCGUGUGUAUGCUAGUUGUAGCCUCCUAGGAUUGUACAGGUUUUGUUGGAUGCUUUUGUAUCUGCAAGAAACUUCUUGUACAUACGGCGGUCUGUUUACGUACCCUGGGGCUUCUGCUAUGGGCUCGGAGUAUGACAGCAAUUCUCUUUCUUUAUUUUUAGCAUCUCUCUUUUUUUCCAUUGUUCUUUUCUGUAGUACCCAUAAAAAUGUCACUACUUUAAUAGAGAAAGAGCAAAGUGCAAAGAAGAAUAUCCUCAUCUCUUGUUACGAAAUGACUAGACAACGAGUGAUGUUUUGGCAACACCAGAGGGUUCUUUGUCCACUAUUGUUGAUUAUUUAUUUCAGUCGGCAUAAUAGCAUUUCAUUUGGAUAUCAUUGAAGUAAAGAACCGUCAAAAUCUCGACUGAACAAUGGUUACAAUUCAGGAGUAGGACUUGUGUGCUAUUAGGAGCAUGGAGGCCUCUAUUCUUCUAAGCCAUUUUCGAUGAUGGGACUUUCUAAACGAUGAUUGGCUCUGUUAGACUUGAUUUAGCAUAUGUGUGUGAAGUAUUUAGGAAAUAAUUUUUGCGGAUUUUCAAUAUCAUUUACCUAGUGAUCGAAAUGAUUCAAAAUCAACUAUUUUUAAUAGUUGAUGUAUGCCGUUUGCAAGUUUAACGGAAUAGAAGUAUUCAACUCGGAUGAAAUUUUGAUAGAAAAUUUUUUAUACUAUCUACAACAAGAUCAAUAUAUUUGAUGAAAAUGUUAGUGCUACAUCAUAACUUUUUGUGAGAUUUUUAACCGUCAUUUUGAGUUCUUUCGAUCACUAAGUAAAUGAUAUCGAAAAAGCGCAAAAUUUAUUUUCUAGAUAGUUCAAAUAUACUAGAUCAAGUCUAUCGGAGCCGAUUGUCGAUUCAGAAAUUUCAUCAUCGAAAACGGCUUAGGAGCACAGAGGGUUCCGUGCUCCUAAUAGCACACAAGCCCUACUCUCAAUUCAGUAUCGGUGUGAAAAGCCCCAGCUAGCAUCAUUUCAUCAAUCUCUCCAUCUAUUUCCGCAGCUUGGAUUACAGCAAACAAAGAACAGUGUCAUACCAUCUUCGCUUCUUGUGGUAGCCUGCAUAUCCACACAACACAAGCUAAUUUACAAUGGGAACAUCUCAAAAACUAAAAAGGGUUUUGGUAUUAGGUAUAACUUUGCGCUAUUUGGAUUAUUAUUUAAGAAAGAAUUUUAUGGUUCUGCUAAAAAAUGUAAACUGUUUCUUCAAUGAAAUAGUUUGAUUGUUCAAGUGCAUUUAACAUAGAAUUUUUUCCGUGAAGUCUGUGGCAAUGUUCUCGGUGCAAUCCACAACUAGACAUAAUGUUUUCACCAGCACUUAGAAAUUUGAAUAUUGUCUGAUAGGCAUUAGAUUGAUGGGGACGGUUUCAAUAAUGUUUACUUGGUGAAUAAUGUUGUACAAAUUUUUCCUUUGAUUUCAGAUUCAUGCAUCAACUCAAUUUAUUUGCUCCUUUCUGUUUUUGUUGUUAGGUUUCAUCUAAGGAAGUUGCACCACAUUUUUCUUAGGGCAGAAAAUCGACUCUGAUGAGAUAUAUUUCCAAUCAAAAAUAGCUAGCACCAGUAGUUCAGUUGCCCCAAUUCCACUUUUCAAGAAAAGAUUCUAUUUUCCCCUAUUUUGUCCAAUACACGUGAUGUUAAAGUGACAUAAUAUGCCAAACUACGGCAAUUGGUAUAGCACUAAAAAAUUAGUCAAAUGAGACAAUUAAACAUGCAUGGCAUGGGGUAUGAUAUGAGAUAAAAUGGAAGGGAAGCAAAAUUUGACCUGGAAAAACACUGCUUCACCGUGGCCACACGUAGCACAUCUUACGGACUUAGUACGAGGAAGAGUAGGGUCACUUGCAACAUCCUCUAGCACUUGUGUGAACUCAUCGACAGAGUGAUCCACCACAUUUCUAUAGACGCAGUUGUUCUCAGCAACCUCCUAUACGCAGUAAGUUUCCUUUAAGAACAUGUGAAUAUCAUUCAUAAUAAUUGAGCGAAAAAAGUACUGAAUCAGUACAUAAUAUGUUAGGAUCUCUCAUUCUUAACAGCAACUUUGAUAUUGAUAGAUAAAUUUAACGUCUCUGUUGGACGCCUCUUCGCUCCAAGAGAAAGAGAGAUCUCGUCUCAUAACUUAGUCUACUGCAAGUCAUUAAGAACAACUCAUUUUUAUCUCGUAAUAAAAUUGAUCAUUAUUACAAAUGCGGAAAGCCUCUUACUUGUAGGUUUAGAAUCAAUAAGACUUGCAAGAAAAAGAUAAAUCGAAAGAUAUUCCUAAUCUGGUAGAUGUCUCAAAUAAAAUAUAUUUCCUAAUCUAAUAAGUAAAAGAAUCCUAAUUUAAUAAGAAAAUAACUACAAAUCUGGGUCGGAUUAGAUUUCGUGAGUCUAUAUGAGUGAGUUUAUAUGGCUUAGAAAUGAUCAGCGGAACUUGCAAUCACAUUGGGUUAUCUGGUGGUAACGGUGGCAUAAUCGGAAUGAGUAGCAAUGGGAAUAACGGGAAAACAGUUUGUGAUGGCAAUGACGAAACUAAAACGGUUGUGGGCUCAACCGAAGUGACAGAGUGUGGCGUGGCGAUGGCUGGUGGUUAGCGCCGGAGCUUUGAAUUUUGUUUGUUGAUCAAUAGUCAGUGAAGCAGUUGGAUCAGCGCUAUGACGAAUUUUGGACCAUUUAUCAGCCAAGUGGGAUUUAUCCAGGUUGGUUUGUGAUCGUGUUUUCAAUGCAAAUUAUAAUGUAUUGAAUUUCACUAUAAUACAUCAAACCUUGCCAAAUAGGCAAAGCGAGGAUAAAGAUCGUGUUGGACAUGAUUAGAAUAAAGUUAGAAAGACUUUGGAGGUGUUACAGUUAGAGUUGGUUUGGGGUAAAGCAGAGUGCAAACAGAAGUUUGGGGUAAACUUCAGAAAACUACUCGGAAGUUUCAUUUUCUGGAAAAUAGAUUUAGCUUCUGGAAAAUGGCUAGAAGACUGAUUGGAGAACAUUCAGUUUCUAAGGAAACUGGGGGCAGUUUCUGAGGAAAUUAGCGGCAGUUUCUAAAAAAAACUAAACAGAAUUUUUUUCAGAAAAUGGGAGUGAAACGGUUUAUGUAGCUUUUGGUUUCUGAGGAAAAUAAGUUUCUGAGGAAAAUAACAAUAUUUUUCUGAAAAACCAGUCAUUUUCCGGAAACCACGAGUAUGUUAUGAAAGAUGCAUAGUUUCGCGUUGAAGUUAUUAUCCUUGUAAUUUUUUAUUUUUGGAGGAUUUUUUUGCAACUGUGGGAGCUUUUAAAACACCCCUACAAUCAUUUUCUCCUUCACUUCCCCUCCAACAAGUGAAACUUCUCUUUCUCUUAUUAAACCCCAUCUCUUUCUCUCUAGCAAAGCCCCCCCACUUCCAGGGAGAUUUUGGGAAGAUUGGGUUGAAGUCCACUAGGUAGUGAGGCAAGCUUCUUGGACAAGAAGGAGCUUGUGGGACAAGUUGCUAAGGUGAGUUCUUUGUGAUUUCUUGUUAGGGUUUGGGAUAAACAUAAAUGAGAUAAGGUUUUGGGAAACUCUCCAUCGAAUACACUAAAUGGUUUGAGAGUUUACUAAAUUGAUGGAGAGUUUCCUUGGGAAAAUAAAAACCUAGGUCGAAAAUUGGGGGUUUUGUACUUUGGGUAUUUCAAAGCAAAUUUACUCUUGAAAACUUUAAUUGAAGGUAGAUUGGCACGGGGAACAAUAAAAAUCUACCUUACGAUGAGGUUGCAGUCUCCAAUUGCAAGAUUAUGCCCAUUUUGAAGGUUCUUGGUCAAAUUGGUCUUGGAGUUUGACGAAUUACUGACAAUUAUUCAAUUGCCUGGUUUUCCUAGCGAUUAACAACGAAUCGAGGUGGGUGGUGCCUUCCGAAGUGGUUGGAUUCCUCUAGCUCUGUCAAAUUGCUCUAGUGAUUAUUUUUCCAUACCCUUGAGAGAUUAUGUUCACAUGCAUAAGUCGAGAAUGUCACUUGUUUUACUUGGCAACCUUUGCAUAUAACUAGUAGCAGCAGCUAGUUUUCCAUGGAGAUAGCGGAUUUAUAAUGGAAUACUAUAUUUUGACAUAGUUGUCACAUUGAUAUUGUGAUCAUACAUGAACUUGGACAUCAAGUCCAGGUAGAAAACAAUGACAAUGCAUAUUAAGCAAAGUACAAUAGUACAUGUAGCAUGUCUUAUAUUGUCGUAGUUGCAUUUCUUUUGAGAUAGGCAUGCUAGGGAUUGGUAGAUCUCAGGAUAUUGCCAUGAUAAAGUAGUGGGUCCUCUUGUAUAAGUGAAUAUGAUCAUGCUCACCAAGUCUGUCAAAGCUUGUGGUGGUCGCGAUUCCAUAAGCUGUGUUCUUUGGAGGUGUCACGUUAAUAAGGGUGAUAGGACAGUUGUGAUUCUCCUUGGGUGCUAGGGUGUGGAAGAGACUCUCCAACAGAUGGCUAAGGUGGGUGCUAGUAGCGAUUCGCCACAAGGCUUAGAGGCACGACUAGGGCUCAACCCCAUGGUUGGCCAGUAUGAUUGGAUCAAGAAACAAAGAGACAGGUUCAACAUAUUGGGUACUUGGUAAUUUCUUAAAGGCAUAGAAGUAGGUUUUAUUAUUCUUGUUUAUAGAUUCUUGUAGUUAUUUACUACUUUGUUCAUUAUCUAUUUACUACUAAUGCGUUGAUUAGACCUACCACAAUGGUCAAUGGUUGAACCUACUGGAAACUUUCUUAUAGUUCUCACCCUUUUGUUUUACAGAUCCAGCCAAGACUGAAGUGGCACAGGACAAAGGCAAGAGCAUCACUCUAUAGAUAGCAAGGUCACCUAGAUGAACCUUGCAAGAUAAACCCAAUGGUCGUAUUUUUGGAAGCACUGUAUAGUUAGCUCAUUUUGGGAAAUGGAUUCGAAUGCGGUAGACAUAUAUUUGUACCUACUUUCAUUUUGGCGAAAAGGAUUGAUAUAAUUUAUUGAUGCUUGGAGUGGAGAUACAUGAAAAGUUUUGAGUGAACAAAUUGUGAUAAUCAUAUUCAUUCUCAUGCUUAUGUGAUGCUCACCGUAUGCAAUUCUUGUAUGUGUUGUUCCUAUGCGGAAUGCAACGUACAUGUUUUGUAAACGCUUCGUGCAGUCGGGAGAAGACUAUGUACGCUCGGCGGGUCUGAGCACGUCUCGGAGGACCUCCGCUGUGGGGCCCUAGGCGUGACACAAAUGAUAAGGCAUUUUCUUUUGGUCAAAAAACUUGCUUUGAAAGUUUUGAAUUUUUGCAUCAUCUACAAUAUAGAAGCUUGUAAGGCUUGAAACUGUUGAUUUUUUCGUUGUUCCAUGGCCUUCAAUUAGUUAAUUAUUUUCUUUCCCCACACAUUACCGAUACUACUUCCUCUCUGCCUUAUUUAUUGACGGAAUUACAGAUUUUCCAAAUUUUUUUAAAUGCCAUGUGCAAAAUUUUAAAUAAAAUUGAUUAAAAUUAAUUAGUAAUGGGUUAGGAAAACUUAGCUUUACUCCGGCUUGAAUUGAGUCAAAACAAUGAUGCGGCUUGGAUUAGAUUGUAUCAGUCUAGGUUUUUUAUGAUGUGGAGAAGGUCGAACCUGGUGGGAUAACGUGUGUUUGAUAGAAACCUUAAUCCCAAAUCACACGAGAACGCGAAGGAUAAGAAGAAAUCUUCGGCUUCGGACUUUAUGAAGGCUUUAAUACCAAAUUGUCAGGAUCCCUUGCUCCUAACUGUAGUUUUGAUUUCGAUAGAUAAAUUUAACGUUGCUAUCCGAUGCCUCUCCACUUUAAGAGGAAGAGGUAUCUCCUCUUCUAACCUAGUUUAAGUCAGAAGCCAUUACGGGGAACCAUUAAGUAGUAACUCAUUUUUUUAUUAGUUAUUAAUAAAGUUAAUUGAUCGUAAGUUGCAAAAGAGGAGAACCGCUUAUUUAUAGGUCUCAAAUUAUUAUAGUAACCUUAAUAUAAUGAAGAAACUAACAAGAAUAUGAUAGAUCAAAAGAUAUUCCUAGUCUAGUAGAUAUACUAAAUAAAGCAUCUUUCCUAUACUAAUCAGUAAAGUAAUCCUAAUCUAAUAAUAAAAAAAGAUUACAAAUUUGUGAGUGAGUCAGAUUAGGAUCCGUGAAUGAUCAUAGCACAAUAUGCUGAUCUAUUUUGUAUUCGGAAGAAAUAGUAUUAUUUGCUAUUGAUCAUAUACUAAUAUACAUGAGUAGUCCGUCAUUAUCUUGUUGCAGAUGUCCCCAAUUGAUAUGUUAAGUAGCAUCUCGUUUCUGCCAAAGCUAAAAAUGUAUUCAAGUUCUUUCAACGAAGCUAUAAAAUAUCUAAAAGAAUUAUGAUCUUUACUGAUCUUAUGGGGCUCUGCAUUUCUCGUUAUAUCCCAGAAUCUGAUGUUUUUAGGUAAGAGUACGAAGAACAAGAGAAGGAUAGAAUGUCCGGCAGUGACCAUUGACGUACUCUGGAUAAAACCAUGGUUAAUUGAUUCGACAUUUGCAGAAGGUAAAAAACUUCAUUCUUUUUCUUUGUUCCCCCGUUUUUCACUUUGGCAGUUUUAGCUUAGAGUGGAAAAGAGAGAAAGUGGAAUGAAACUCUCAUGAAAUAAAUUUCAGUCCAACAAAUCACAUGGAAAUUGAAAGAACGAAGAGUAAUACAAUGCACAAUGUAAAAUAAAUCGAAUGCACAAUGCAAAGAAAAGAAAUUUAUGGAAGGAUUUAAUGAACGGGAGCUCACCACAUAUCCAGGUUUGAAAUCUAAACGGAAAUAUGGGAAGGUGCAGAACCUGAUGAUCGCAAUUGCGGCAAGCAUAAAGGAGGUCCUUCUGUUCUCUGUCCUCCUUCGGAUACAGUAUGUUGUUGCUGCCCAUACCCGAAUGAGAAGCCAAAAAAGAAAAAGGAUAAUACCAAGUAAGAAUAGACAGAAGAAAAUGAAUCGUUAGACCAUGUUAUUUCACUCUCUGCAGUGCAUAGCAGCGUGUACAUAAAUAGUUAGAAUCUUACCAUUCUCUGCAAAAUUUCAUAGUACUCAUGGUUGCUUCUUUUCAGCUUUCCUACAGGAAUUUAAUGAAGCCUUAUUGCUUUCUCAGCUGAUCUUCUGAUCUCUUAUUAGUACUGGUGUAUAUGGGUCGAACUCUCUAUCUAUAGACAAAGGUGUAGCUCUCUGUCUCUCUCUCCUUCUCUCUUUCUCUAGAAGGUGGGAAAUAUUAGUAGGAGAACUCUCUGUGGAACUGUGUGGGGACAUACGAAAAUGACGGAUGCUUCUAGCAUAUAUUACUUAAUAAGGGACUGCUUAUUUUGACAAUUUAAAUAAUCUGUAAUUUCUUCAGCAGAAAUCAAAGAUUUUGAUAUCGAGGCUGAAAAGUGAAAGCUCCUGUAGAGAAAUACUGUUGGAAGGAACUCAAUAUAUACAGUGCUUAUGCUAACAGCAAUGGUGCGUUGUCAACCAAGAUUGCAUUCUAUAGCAAGGCCAAAGAGGACGGUCCUGCAGUCCCUCUUUUGCCGAGUUUAUCUCGCUGUGUUGUUUUGAUUUCUUGAAGCCCGUUCGAGAUUGACUAGUAAGAUACUGACAAGUAAGAUCAUCAAAAUAAAGUAAGAUCAUCAAAAUAGCUAUUUUGGUGUAUGAAAAAAAAUAUAUUUACUGCUGAAAGUCACCACCAAAUAGUUCUGGAUCGAUUAAGAAAUUGAAUAAAUGUGGAAAUCAUUCUACAAGAGAUCACCAUAAUGCCGAUUCAUAUAUUUUAUUUUUCAGAGAAUAAAAAUAGCAGGAAACUAUCCCCAGUAUGCAGAUUCAAUAUUUUUAUAUUUUAUUUUUUUAUUUGAGUACUUAUUUUAGUUUGAAAUUAAGUCUUGUUAAAUUUAAUAACUAUUAAUUGCAUUAGUUUUAUUUGCUAACAACUAAUUCAAAUUAUUUAAGUUUGAUGGAAUCACAAAUGACUGUAAUAAAAUUUUCAAGUUAUUUGGCCGAUUGUCCAAUUCGGACAUCGUAAGGUAUCGUUUGAUUCGAGAAUAAGGUAUUCCGGGGAAAGGUAUAAAUUGAGGUAUAAGCGGGGAUUAGAUCAAUUUUGCGAUUGGAUGAAAAUUGGGUUAUUUCUGGAAAUAAGAAAAAUAGAGUUUGGUUAUGUAAGAUGGAAUAAGAAUUAAAGUGGGUAGUUAUAAAUAAAAAAUAUUAUUAUUAUUAUUUUCUUUAUAUUAGAAUUAGAAUUUUUAUAUUUUAUAUUUAUAUUUUGAAAUUUAAAAUAUAAACUUUUAAAUUUUCAAAAUCAAAAUUAAAAUUUAAAAUUUUAAAAUCUCAAAUUUAUAAUUUUUAAAAAAUUAAUUUAUCAUGAAUAUUAUUAGCUAAUCAUAAAUGUUAAUUAAUACAUUAAUUACCAGAUUAAUUAAUCAUUAAUUAAUUAACCAUGAGUANAAUCAUAAAUGUUAAUUAAUACAUUAAUUACCAGAUUAAUUAAUCAUUAAUCAAUUAACCAUGAGUACUGUUAAUUAAUAAAUUAUCUAACUAUAAAUAAUUUAAUAAGUUAACAAAUUAGGCUAAUAAAUUAAUAUAUUAGUAAAUUAAUUAAUUAAUUAAUUAAUUAAUUAGUUAUGUUGGUAAAAAUAUUAAUUUAUUAAUCAAUAAAGAUAUUAGUUAUUGCAUAAACACACUAAUAAAUAAUUAUUAAUUUAGCUAAUAUUUUAUUAUUAAAUUAGUUAAUUUUUAAUUUAGCUAAUUAGUUAAUAAAAUAAUAUAUAUAAUAUAUUAAUUAAUAAUAUUUUAUUAUUAAACUAGUAGAGAUAUAAAGAGAAAAAUUUGUUAUUCCACCAAAAGGGUGGAACAACAAAUCCUCCUCUUAACGGGUUAUUCUAGAAUAAUCCGUUAAGAGGGGGAUUAAAUAAACUCACUCCCUCUUAUAGUGUUUGGAUGAAUUAGAGGGAUAAAGUGGUCUAUUCCCACUUUAUCCUCAACCAAACAAUGCCUAAAAGAAUAAAGUUGAAAGGGCCCUUUCGACAUGGCCUAUAGUCGAGGGGUCUCCAUACAUUUUAGCCAAAUUAUAUUUAUAUUUUUAUUUUUGAAUAAUUUUUGUCAGCUAAACUGGAUGUUUUAUUAACAUUUUAUCAACUUUUAUGGUUUUAAUCACUUUUCACUAAAUAAAAAAAAUUAAUGGCUACUAGUUAAUACACAUAUUAAAUUAAAUAAAAUUUUCAACUUGACUAACUGGAAUAACGGCUAGUAGUUGGAGGAUUUUUUUUGGGAUUUUAUUACAUUCCUACUGCGAGCCGAUUUCUUUGACUGCUGGCUCGAUCAAAACCCUCCUUUGGGAAGCCCGCGAGGAGACGGAGCGGCUACGAAUGAUGACUCUCGAAACUUUUCGCUCACUAUCGAAUCAAGCGAUUCAGCUCAAAAUUGCUGUGAGUUGAUUUCUUUGACCGUUGAUUCGGUCAAAACCCUCCUUCGGGAAGCACGCGAAGAGGUGGAGUGACUACGAAUGAUGACCCUUGAAAUUUGCACCCACUGUCGAAUCAAGCGAUUCGGUCGAUGAGGUAUCGGAUCAGUCGAGUUCAAUCCCACACAGUAAGUUCGGUUCAGCUGGAUCAGUCGAGUCAAGGUAAUAGUACAGUACUUUUUGUUCAGCUGAAGAGUCGGAAAGUCUAUAUAUUGCUCAAAAUCAGAAAAUGAGCGUGUGUCGCUAUGGCAUGCGAUCUCAAAGGAAAAUUUGAUCUACAGACUACUCCUAGGAAAUGCAGUAAAUGUAGAAAAGUAAAAGGGUUGCAGGUAGACUACUACUAGAAAGUAAGAAGAAAUGCAGAGAAAAAUAGAAAUUGGUCUCUCGUUCACAGGGAAAAAAGAUCUCUACCAGGUGUCCUCUGUUUAUUUAUAGCUUCGCUUGUUGCUUAUUCAGUUAUUCUCUACUAUCGGUGUAGCACAUUGAAAUUUUGCAAACUUCAGAGUUCAAGUGAGAGAAUAGUGCUUUUUACUAUUUUGAAGGAUAUGACUGGGUUUGGAGAGCUUAGGAGUGUUUUUGAGGCUUUAUAAGCGCGAAAACGGACUCUGGAGAUCAAAUUCUGCAAAACUGCUUUAUUUGUGUUGAGUACCAGUACUGGACUUGAGGUACUGGAACCCAGUUGAGUGUUGGUUUGGGCCGCUCUCGGGUUUUACGGAACUCGGCUCUGUGUACUGGUACUGAGCCGAGUACCGGUACUGCAUUGGGCGAUUUCCCAACGUUCGGGUUUUGCAGUACUAGACCCCUGGUACCGGAACGGACUGCCGAGUACCGGUACUCCAAAUUGUGUAUCGGUACUAAAUGUUGCAGAAACUGUUUCGUGCAGAAUGCAAUUUUUGACUUUUGGAGAGGCUUUUGGGGUAUUGUUAUAACUAGUAUAACAUACCCCACACUCUCUCAUUCUCUUUUGUUGGUUGAGGAUGGAGAGGGAGAAGAAGUGGGUUUACUUCUCUUUUCCUUUGGAUUUUUUUUUCAUUACCUUUCAAUCUUUGGGUUUAAUGUAACAUACUGAAUCCCCGACGAGUUGUACCGAAAAAUUGACCGAAGUGUGGUAGUGGACGGGGUGGUGAGGUUCAUUAAUUAUUCCGAGAGCUUCGGAAUACAUUGCAUGUGUGGUUUGGACCAUGGAGAGCAAUCUAGCAAAAUUCCAGCUCUUUUCGUGCUAGAAAUGCUCUCAGGGUCCGGACCUUCAGUGCAAGGUCUGGACCCCGUACGCGAAAAAUGCCAAGGUUGGUCAGCCUUUGUCGUGUGAGGGGGCUAGGUGCAAUUGUGCAAGUGGGAAGUGUUUAUAUGUGGGUUCUCAUGUGUUUAACCCUCAUUUCCCUCACACUACCAACAAAAGAGAAAAGCUCUUUCUCACUCUAAGAUUCUCCACUCUCUCUCCCUUUCUCCCCUUCUCUCACUAGGGUUUUGUCACACCCUGGACUUCAGCGGAAGCUCACCAGUUACAUGCACAAACCCGCCGUGUACACCACAACCUCAAGUGUACACCAGGCGUCUACAAACAACAUAGCAAAAGUAUAAUAUUCUAGCAAGGUAAUCAGAGGAAAAACUUAAAAGUUUAUAAGCUUAUACAAAUACGAAACCUUAAUACAGAUUAGAAGCAAAGUACAAAGUACAUUCUACAUAGUCCCACUAUACAACACUGAACUCAACUAGAAAAGCUAGUAUGGUUUCAUCUAUUUAAUAUCGAGAAAGCUCUAACUAGCCGCUAACCCCUCGCUAGGAACCAUAGUCUUUCCCGCUGUGGAGGGCUCUGCACACAAACAACCAACAACAGGGCGUGAAAACUAUUAAACAAUAGUUCCCAGUGGGUAAGUCGCCGAGAGUGGCGAAGUACUGUUAAGGAUUUUCUAGGUUGACGAAUUUCGUAAAGUCGAAUAGAGUCUUGAAGAGUUAAAAGCGAAGUUUUUGGAAAGAAGAUUCAAUUUGAAGAUCAAAGACUCAUUCGGGAAGUUCGGCAGCUCAGGUAUGCAAGAUAGAUCAUUUGUGGUGAAUCUAAAUGUUCAAAAUGUAUUUAGAAGACAUAGAUUGUAUUAAUGUUUUUAAAAUAAUUAAAUCUGAACUUAUCAGGAGUUCAGGGACCGGUCCCUGAUCAGAAGGACCGGUUCCCGGAGGUCCUCGCUGCAUAAUAAAGCAAUGCAACCGGUCCCUGAGAUGAGAGACUGGUUCCCGUAGCUUGUGUUUUCAGCUACGCAACGAGGGACCGGUCCCCGAGAUGAGAGACCGGUUCCCGUAGGUUAUGUUUUCAGCUACGCAACGAGGGAUCGGUCUCCAACUGAGAGGACCGGUCCCCCAAGGAUCGGUCUCCUCGAGAGGACCGGACCCUGAGGACGUCGUCAGUUUUUAAAAUUGUGUUUUUGCAAUUCUAGUCUACUUCUAAGUCUUCUGAAUCUAUAAAUAAACUAUGAGGGUUACAUUAUGCUGUAUGCUUAGAGUUUAGACCAUUUUGAAACCCUAGAAACUUGUUUUUCGAGCUUUAUGAUUCUAUUCUUAACGCAAGUUUCGAAUUGUUGUUCGUCGACUUGAUUCUUAGAUUUUAAUUUGAAUGUUCCUUUGAGAAUCAAGUUGAUGAUUGACUAAAAGGGAAUUCCUUAGAGCUUAUGGUUUUCUAAAUUUCAAUCACCACAAAUUAUCAUCUCUACGAGCUCCAGAUGGAGGAUUUGCGUAAGGAUUCCGUGUGAAGGCCGUGGAUUCGGUGGGCGUUUCGUGGAGUCGAGGCGUGUUUGCUGCAAGAACUUGCGGCAUGAUCGGUUGGAGGAUUCCAAGUGAUCGAAGACCGGCGAAGACAAUCUACAAUGAGAAUUCGGUAAAUUAAGUCGUGUAUUUUCGUUAAAUCACUUGUACUCAAGUUUUCUUAGUGGAUUUGUUCGUGUGAUCGGUCCCGUGGGUUUUUCUCUCCGGAUUGGAGUUUUCCCACAUUAAAUCUCGGUGUGUUGAUUUUAUUUUCCGCAUUCUCUUUUAAUUUGCAUCGAGUUUAUUUGUUUUUGCCGUUUACACCUAUUCACACCCCCCUCUAGGUGUUAUUUACCUUUUAGAUCCUUGGGAUCCAUAUCUUUCAAGUGGUAUCAGAGCGGGUAUAGGUUGUAAACUAUGGCCGAGGACGGUAAUAUUAAUCGACCCCCACUCUUUGACGGCACUAAUUACGCUUAUUGGAAAGUUCGCAUGAGAGCGUUUCUUAUUGCCAUUGACGAGCGGGUUUGGUAAUCAAUUGAAUUCGGAUGGAAACAUCUUACCGAAGUUGUCGAUAAUGUUAGCGGUCCCAAACCUAGAAAUAAAUGGACGAAAGAGGAAAAUGAACUAUCUUCGUUCAACGGGAAAUGUAUCAAUGCUUUAUUCAAUGCUUUAAAUCAAACCGAAUUUUCUCGUGUCUCGGCGUGUGAAACCGCCAAAGAUAUUUGGGACACUUUACAAAUUACACAUGAGGGUACAAGCUUAGUAAAGGUUCAAAAGUUACAAAUGUUGACUAGUAGAUUUGAUUCUAUUCACAUGGAAGAACAUAAAACCUUUACCGAGUAUUAUACUCAUUUGCAAGGUAUUAUCAACACAUGUGCUAAUUUGGGAGAGAAGAUUCCGGACUCUAAAAUUGUUAGAAAAAUUUUGAGAACCCUUUCCGAACGAUUUCGUCCUAAGGUUGCGGCCAUAGAAACGGUAAAACAUCCGGAUGAAUUAAAAGUAGAAGAAUUAGUUGGUGCACUUCAAACUUAUGAGAUGACUUUUCCUUCUAAUUCAUCUUCUUCCAAGUUGUCUUCUAAAGCUUCAGGUAUGGCACUAAAAUCAACGAAAGGAGGCAACGUGGAAUCUUAUUUAUCGGAUUCGGACUCAGACGUAACCUUGGAAGAGUUUGAGAAGCAAAUGGCUCUUUUGACGAAGAAGUUUCGUCGGAACUUUAUGUCACGCCCCGGGACCCAGCGGAAGCCCGCCCGGCACGUGCCCAGAUCCGACAUACGUCUAAAACAUAUAAGGCAUCUAGAAAUAACAGUAAUAAAAGCAAUAAUAAGAGGCAUCUAGGAGUAUCAGAGCAUAAUAAAUGUCUAAAUGCUACAACCAGGGAUAAGGAUAAAGCUGUAAAUCCACUAAAUAAAACAUAAAGUAAAUACAAUAGAAAAUCCCAAAUACAAGUGCUAAAAGUAGGUACAUAGGUGGUCUCUACACAUGGAUACAAAAUCUCUCACUCUCCCAACUACAAAAAGAAAGAGCAAACCACCUAGGCAAAGAACCGCUCCUCGCUAGCUAGCUAAGCGAUCCCCUUGCCGCGAUCCCGUGCCUCCGCCGGUGCCGAAGGCUCUGAAAAGUAAACCAUGAAACAGGGGCGUGAGAACGAUUAAAAAUAGUUCCCAGUGGGCAAUUACUGACUUCAGUGAAUGCUCCACAAGGCCCAAAGCUACAGAAGAGGUCAGUGACUAACAAUGUAGUAAAGCGAAAGGUAAGUAAAAUGUAACUCACUAUAACAUAGAAUUGCUACUUAGCAUGAUUUGCACAAGUAAUGAAGCAACUAUAUCAUGAAUAUAACUGGAUGUGUAUGACAUGCAUAAGCAUAGAAAUGCAACCAAUCCGAUGUCCUCAAUGCAAAAAUAGUAAAGAUGCCAUUGUUUACUAUUUUAGUUCAAGUCCGCUUUAAUAGUUUCAAAGUCCACAUAGCAUGUUCUGUCACUAAGUCCCAAUCCUAUAGGACCCACCCGAAGGCUGUCUGGCCUGCGCCGUGCCUAAUGGCUCCGUGGUAGUCAACAUCCCCACUCUAGGGAUGAGCCUCCCCCACGGCGAUCCACUUCGGCGUCCAAUCCCGCACGGGCGAGCAAAUGUCGCGAUGGCUAUCUCCGGAGUGCCGGCUUGUAGGGAGCGACCCUCACAAGCAUGUGCGAAUGAGCACAAUGGCAUGCAAGCGAAUAAGUCCGUCUCAGGUCCCAAUGGUUCAUCACUGUUUCAUCGGAUCUAAAACCCGGAAUACAGCACAUGUCCCCAAAGGCCUGCUACUAUAUCGUCAUGUCUCUAACAUGGGAAGCAGCUAAUGUCAUCGUGGCCAAGUCACUAUUUCAUCAUAUCUAAAAUAUGGAAUAUAGUCGAUAUCAAAAUGGCCUAUCAUCAAGUCUCUAUAUUGUAGUUUAACAAUUUCUAGUCCAAGUGCCUCUUCAUGACACUAUGGCUCAUUAUGUCCCAACAUGGAUACUAAGUUCAAGAACUUGUAAUUCUAGUCAUAUUCGAAGCAAGAACAUGAUUUCAUAUCAUCUCACAGGAUGUUCGCCGCAUGCAUAUUAACAAAGCAUAUAUGCCUCUCUAUUAUAUGGAGUAAAUUUUCUUAUGCAUAACAUAUGAGUCUUAAGCAUUCAACAAUUCCCAUAAAUACUAUUAAACAUGAAUAUGCAUGAAUUUAUAGUAAAUGAAAGCAUUUAACCACAUAGGAGGAAUUUCCUCUCAUUUCAAGAAGCCAAACCCACCGAUUCCUCGAACUCCUUGUUUCGCCGAACGAAGGUGUCCACUAGCCUCCUAGUACCCUAAGGAUGUAGGAACAAGUGUCAAACAAGGCUCACGAACAAAGCUAAGCUCAAACAUUAAGCUUCUCUAGCUAGGUUGGAGAAAACUCACCGAACGCUAAGGAAUCCCCCACGAACUCCAAAAGGGAGUUAGAUUCCUUCAGAUCCAACCUAAAUCAAAGUCCUAAACCAAUCAAUUUGGUUCUAGAAGCUACAAAUCAAAAAUUCCCAUUUUUAACCCUAAUAUGCCAAAUCUAGGGUUUGAUCUAGUAGAAGCUACCAAAACUUAGUCCAAAGAAAAGAUUAGGCUUACUAACCUCACAAAAAGCUCAAAAUCAAGCUCCAAGUUCCCUAGGGUUGAAGGUUGAUCUCCAAAGAAGCUCCAACCAAGAUCUCAAGCUUCUCCAAUGGUGGAAAACCCACAAAAGCAAGAAAGAGAGGAGAAAAGAGAUCAAAACCCACAAAAAAAACCAUCAAAAAUGGAGAAGAAUUCAAAGGGGAGGAGUUCUCACCUGUUCUCCACUGGUCUAGGGCUCAAAAGAGCUCACAAAGGGGCUGGGGUGUGCUUAAAUAGAGGUUGCAAUAAUUACAAAAACACCCCCCACGAAACAGCCCAGAAUCUGUAUUGUGUACCGGUACACGGGAAAGUGUACCGGUACACCUCCUGCGAAACUGCCCAACCCGAGCCUCGGAUUGGCAGAAAAUCUAUUGUGUACCGGUACAACCAUCAAGGGCGUACCGGUACAAAUUCUGUACCGGUACAACCAUCAAGGCUGUACCGGUAUACAGCCUAGCUGAGGCUAAUCCGAGAGUACUCCAACAAUCCAACCUUUUGGGAUUUUGGUACAGGUUUAAACCCUCAAUUCUCGGGAUGCGAGCCAUAGGUCGGAACACUGUUUACGACCCUUCAGAAAGUCUGAAAUAGCUCGGCACACAGAUCAAACACUCGAAACUCGCAAUUUACAGAGGUCCAGUGUGCUACACUUUAGAAAGAAGUUUCCUUUCAAGUAAACUUCCUCCAAGCCAAACAAAUCAAAAGGGAGUUCCUCUUCUUCUUCGAAGUUUAAAAAAUCAGAAAAUUUUCAAAAAGACUCUACAAAAGAGAAGAAAAGUAGUGAAGGUCAAAUCCAAUGCUAUAAGUGUAGGGGAUUUGGUCAUAUUGCAUCGGAUUGUCCAAAUAAAAAAUCUUUGAAAAAGAAAGUGAUGCAAGCCAUUACUUGGGAUGAUUCUUCUUCUGACGAGUCAUCUUCAAGUGAUGAGGACGUUAAUGCCACGGCACUUAUUGCACAUGAUUCUACUUUUGUGUGUUUAGCAUCCACUGACUCUAUUUUUAUGUCUCCUUUGCAUGAAAAAUCUACGUCGGAGAACUCAUCGGAUGAAGAAUCGGAUGAAGAUGAUAUGGCCGCCACAUAUCAUCAUCUUGUUGUUGAAUCAAAGAAGAUGGCAAAACACAACAAGAAAUUGUGGCGUAGAUUGUAUGAUCUGGAUCAAGAUAAUACAAGAUUAGAGUCGUUGACAAAAAGUCUUGAGCAAGAAAAAGAUGGUUUGACGAAGGCAUACAAUUCUUUACUUGAUAAGUGUGCAUUGCUUGAAAAGGAAAAGGAGUCUCAUGUUGAAAAUAUCAAUUUCCUUACCAAGCAAUACACGGAAGCUAGAGAAUCCAAUAUGGAAUUCACCAAGACGAUUAUUCAACUCAAAUCGGAUUUAAAUCAAUUCUCGUUUGGCUCUAGCAAACUUGACAAGAUGUUCGGACUUGGUCAAACCAACAAAUUCGGACUUGAAUACGAAUGGACGUAUGUCGAUCAAGUGAUGAAGAAAAUAGACGAACAUCUAACGAAACCGGCACCUAUGGUGUAUGGCAAGUUUGUCUCUCCUAAGAAUUCUUUUGCUAACAAAACUUGUCAUCUUUAUGGUGUUGUAGGACAUAUAAAAAGAUUUUGCGAACAAAAGCCGAAAAGUACCGCAACAUCAUUGAAUCGGAGGACACCAUGGAAGCCUAAGAAGGAUGAUCCGAAAUUAAAGACGAAACAAACGUGGAAGCCUAAGAAGGAUGAUAUUACACAAAUCGUCGACAAGCAAUGCGUGUCUCAAUCAAGUCGGCCGAUGCAUUCCAAAACACGUAAAGUUUGGGUGCGCAAAGGUGAACUCUUUCCUUGCCUUGUCAUCCACACUUCGCUUCAUGCUUACAAUAAUACUUCUUGGUAUCUAGAUAGUGGUUGUUCAUGUCACAUGAUCGGCGAUAAAAAUUGGUUUACUUAUUUAAAUAAAAUCUCUAGAGUACUUAUUGUUUUUGGAGACGGUCGGUCAUCAAAAAUUAUUAGAAAAGGAACAGUCGCUAUGUCACGCCCCGGGACCCGGCAUAGGCCCACCCGGUGCGUGCCCAGACCCACCAUAUGCCUGCACAUAUAAGGCGUCUACAACAAUAGAAGUAUGAAAGUAAGGAAGAGUAAGACAACUAUAGACAUCAGAGCAACUAGCAGCUACAUACUAAUAACAAAUAGAGAACAGUAAAUUGAUCCACUAAUAAAACAUAAGGUAAGUACAACAUCCGUCUCAAAAUACAAAAUGGGUGGUCUCUAUACAUGGUACAACUCUCAACCUCUCCAAAAAGAAACCAAUGAGAGGUAGACCACCUAUCGAUAUGAUCCUCGCAAAAGAGCUAGCUCAAGGCAAUGCCCUUUCCGUGGUCCCUAGCCUUGCCCGGUGUGGAAGGCUCUGAAAGGAAACAAGAAAUAGGGGGCGUGAGAACUAUAAUUUAUAGUUCCCAGUGGGCAAUUACUGACCUCAGCACAUUGCGCCACUAGGCCCAAAGAGUACGAUAGAUAUGAUAAACAACUGGAAUUAAACUGCAGAUAUGAAAGCAUGUAUUGAAUGCUAAAAUAAACUAUUAUGUUAUAAGCAAUAUGAUGGCAAUGUGUAGUACACAGAUUCUAUCAUGCUCAAAUAUGUACAACACAAAACUAGUGUGAUCCCACAUGGCAAGCAAAUAUUCUAGAGUGCAAAGAGCGCUAUAAUCAAGUAUACUAUAAGUCCAAACCUAUGCUAUAAGCAUGUCCAAGAAACCCAACUACUAUAAUCUAUUUAGUAGUGAUUUUUACUUAUGCGACUCCAUGUCGAUUUCCAUUUCUCAUUAAGGACCUACCCAAGGUAGUCCGGCUUGUGCCGCCUAAGUGCCUGUGGUAGCCCAACAUUCCCACUCGAGGAACGAGUCUGUCCCACCCGACCGCGUAGGCUUCUCAAUACCGCACGAGCGAACAUAAGUCGCAUAGGCUAACUCCGGAGUGCCGGCUUGUAGGGAGCGACCCUCACAAGCAUGUGCGAAUGAGCACAAAUGGCAAGCAAGCGUAGUCAUCGUCUCAAAUGUCCAAUCAUCAUGUCUCUAACAUGGUAAUAGUUACUAGCAAACCCAUCGGUCUAGUCCAAUGUCCAACGUGAAGGUUUAACCGUUCAAUUAUGUCCAAUGCCCCUUUAUGGCAUUACAUCUCACUAUGCCCAAAUCUCGGUACAACACUAAUGCCAGUUCACGACAUUAGGUUUACUAAGUCCACACAUAUUCCAAGCCUAAUGCCCUUUUAUGACAUUAGCUUACUAAUUCACAAACCACUCUAGUCUAAUGCCCCUUUAUGACAUUAUCUACUAGGUUCACAUAUAGCCUAAGCUCAAUGUCUCUUUAUGACAUUAGCUUACUACGUGUUAAGUCGUGUGUGUUGGCAAGUUUCGUGAAGUGAGUCGAAGUCUUGAAGAAUCGGUGCGUGUUGUCGAAGAUCGAAGAAUUCAAGAUUUCGAAGAAGUUGGAAAAUAACUCACACCGUGAAUCACGAUGUCCAGGUAAAGUGUUAAUUCAUGAUCAUGGUGAUUCAUACUUAGUUGUAGACAUUAGAAUCAUAAUAUCAUUGUCUAACGGAUUAGAAAGUGCAUUGGAACUUUGCAAAACCCGAAACGGCGAAAUUUUGCAAAGUGUACCGGUACAGCAUCAGAAGUGUACCGGUACAAAAUGUGUACCGGUACGACCAUCAAGGGUGUAACCGGUUUCACUGUUUCGUCUGAUUUUCGUUCCGUCAUCGUGUAACCGGUGACAGCCUAAAGUGUACCGGUACACAGUGUAAAAUCGUGAAAACUUUCUAAUCCGACUCCAAUUGAUUCUAAAGUCUAUAAAUAAGCUAUUGGACUUCUCUAACACAUCAAGCAUCAUAAGAAUACAUGUUUGAGAAACCCUAGAGGCUCGGAUUUCAUCUUAAACCUAUUUUCUACAAAAAACCUUUUUUAGAUCAAAUCGAGAUAUUGAAAUUUGAUAUUAAUAUGUCGAUUUGAUCUCCGCUUCGCUUGGAGUUCUAUUCCCUGGUUUUCUACGAUACUCCUAAGCGAAGGAUCACCAUACACAUGAUGCUCUUCAUGAACGGCGUCGUGGAUUCGGCAUGAACGAAGACGGUUCGUGGAUUCGGAUCGUGAGCUCGUGGAUUCGAGUGGGCGUCGUGGAUUCGACGUUAUCGAGGCUUCGUGGAUUCGAAGUGGUGACGUUUCGUGGAUUCGGGACGUGGCGUUCGUGGAUUCGGACGUGGGGCGUGGACAACCCGUUGGUGUGCGCGAGAUCUGGAGAAGAUAGAAGAGAGGUUUGAGUCCGUGGAUUCGGUAAAUCACCUUGUAAUCUUUUAUUCUUAGUGGAUUGUUAUCGCGUGUUGGUCCCGUUGGUUUUUUACUCCGAGUUUGGAGUUUUUCCACGUAAAUCUCGGUGUGCUUUUUAUUUUCCGCAUUUAUUUUUAUUGCAUCGAGAUUUGUGGUUUUUUGGCCUUUCACCUAUUCACCCCCCUCUAGGUGAUAGAUACAAUCUAGAUAGAUCCUUGGGCUCCUCAAAACUUUCAAUUGGUAUGAGAGCGGGAUCUAGAUAAAUUGCUAUCUAAUGGCUGAUAAAGAAAAUGACGAGAAUCUUGCUUUGUUUACUAACACUUCUUUGCCUUCGUCUAAUGUUGUUUGCUUAUCUUCUAUUAUUUCUAAUUCCACCUUGUCGGGGUCUUCGAGCGACAAUGGCGAAAGCGAGGAGGAGUCGAACGACGAGGAUUUGGCAGAAGCAUACAAUCAACUUCUUAUUGAUUCGAAAAAGAUGGCCAAGCAUAAUAAGAAGCUGAGAAGGCGUUUAUUGGAACUUGAAGGCGUUGUGUGUGUGUGCUGGUUGUGUACGCAGGUUGAGGGAGAGAAAAGAGCAAUGCUCUUUUCCACAAGCAGCCUCAACUAUUCACUUUUCAGUUUAGUCCCUCAAAUCUUGAUAAGUUCCGUCGGAACCCUUCUGAAUGUCCGUUUGAGCUCAAAUUGACAGGUAGUCUCGGUUUAACGUACUGAGUAAGAAUAUAUCUUAAGUUUCCAGUUUCGACCCCGUUUUGGUCACGGAAAACUGUGCCGAACUGCAAUCUUUUAUCAGAUAGCUUUCGGAUUUUAUUUCUCACUCUACGGGUGUCAGAAAAAUAUGAAACCUCAAAUCUAGCCUCAUAAAAAUAUCUGACUAUCCUCCAAUUUUCAUAAUUUUCUGAGACUGUGUGCAUUUUCUGCUAAUUUACCUGUCCCGUCUCUCACAGAAAAUUCUAAAUUUUUUGUUUUCAUUCCGAUUUCAGCACAAGUCAUUUCUAACUCAUAUUUCACCUUCUCAAAUCCAAUAAAAAUAGUAUCUCAUACUAUUUUUAUUUAUUUUUAUUUAUUAUAUUUAAAUCGCUAUAUUACAUUACACCGCAACCUUACCGGAACAUUCAAAUGGCUCUCCAACCAAAUGAACACCGUAACCUCAUGAUUUUAGAAGUUCGUACCUUACAGAAUUAUUUUUCAAAUUUGAUUCCCUUUCCUCUCGAGAGCUUCUUCAUUGUCUUCAACUUGUUGUUUUCCUUUCACUUNNNNNNNNNNNNNNNNNNNNNNNNNNNNNNNNNNNNNNNNNNNNNNNNNNNNNNNNNNNNNNNNNNNNNNNNNNNNNNNNNNNNNNNNNNNNNNNNNNNNAUUGUUUUGUUGAGAGAGAUAUAUCGCCGCCAGCAUAGGUAAUUAGGAGUCUAAAAAUCACGAGAAUCGAAACAACAACUCCUUUAUACUAUUCGGAGGUGGGUAGGUGCAUUCGAAUUGUUGUUAUUCCUUUCUAUGUCUAUCUACCUUUUAUUGACCAUAAUGUCAAUAGUCAUUCAUGUAUGAUAGGGCUAAUUACAUGUGAAAGUUGGUUGGACUUCGAUUAUAUGUUUCUAAAAUAGAUGAAACAUAGUAAUUGAUAUGAACCAUAGAGGAACAUGUAUGUUGGACCCUAAUACUUGUGUGAAUUGCAGACCAGACUAUUAUGAGUAAAAGAGGUGCAUUUGACAUAUGAGACAAGAUUGACAUCGAAAAAAAUAGAUUUAAACAAGGUUUAACCAUUAGUGCAUAAUGACAGAAUACACUAAGUGGCCAAAUAUGAUGGUAAAGGUUGGAAACUAUCAUUAAGUUGUAGGAUAUUGUGGUUAGUGGCUUAAUAUAUCCUUAAGUCAGGAUUUGAUCGAUUACUCCGAUAAGUCUUGACUCGAGGGAGGUAGCUGCCCUCCCUCAAGCGGUGCGCUCCGGAGUCGAGUCACACGAGGGAUAGUGGCCCCCAAAAGACGGUCCCUCGAGUUUGCAGCGCUUAGAGCCUCCCCCGAACCAAAAAGGAUUUAGGCGUUUGUGAGUUUGGGGAUGUUAACAAAGUUAACCGGUUAAAGAUUGGAAUAAAAGCAAAGUAAAGUUAUGGAAAGAGCAUGCAUGCAAUAAUCAUUUUAUUUUAUUAUACUAUCCACUGACAGUUUUUCUUGCAGCAUAGUUUAGCAUUAGCAGAUGGCUUACUUAUUUCCUUUUCUUUGAAAUACUGUUAUGCCUAAAUAGACUAGUGGGUAAAUCGGCAGAGGUCGGUUGACCCGAACACACCACCUCGAGACAAACUUCCGUUGUAGUCUCACAAACACUAACCCUAAAGAUCGGAGCUACGAGCAGGGCGCCGGAGGAUCGAACAAGGGUUCGCGCAGUAGCAGUGUGGCCACCGGAGUACUUGCAUUUAGUGAUUCCCUUUUUGGUUCAUGUAUCAAUGUUUCUUUGUUGACUUAGAAUUGUAAAGUGUAAACAAAUCAGUUUAGUGUUUGGGUGGGAUGAUAAGAUGCAAAGAUAUUAUAAAUGAAAGCAAAAUGAAUGUAAUAAUUUUUAGUUUACUAGUAUUUGGUUUAAAUUGUAAUCAAAUAUUACGUAUAGUUGUAUGUUGCUAGCUUAGAGCUUUGCUUCCGUUGUUGGCUUGCCCUCGUGCAGCCUUGUAUAAUUCAAAUCUCUUUGUUUGAUUGCUUAAUUAUACUUUUGUUUAGAGCCUUUGGGCCUACGGACAGAGAAGGCCGCUGGCUACGGUUUGGCGGUCUGUUUGACGUUGGCCGAAUCCGACCAGAAUAGGAGGCCGGGGGAGCGGCGGCGUGACAUUAGAUGUUAAAUUUGAGGUUUGACUCAAUGGACAGUGAUUAAUAAGCUUAAGCAUAUUAUAACAGAUAUAUUCUAUUUUCUUAACUUUUUCUUUUCUGAGAACUAAUUGCAUAUGCUACUUCAAUAACUUUUUAUUUGCAAAAUGCAUUUACUAGUUGUUGUUGCUGUGAAAGCCCAGAUUUUAGAAAUAGCGCUAAGAAACCUAGUCCAUUCUUAACAAUAUUUCUGUAUCUUUUGAACAAUUGAAAUAAAUUUCAAUUUUAAUGUUGAGUAUGACGCCAGGUAUUGAAAUUUCUGAGAAUGGCAUAUUUUUCCUGUGAAACUGUUGAACCAUUAGAAAGUUUUAAUCUAUACACAUAGUUUCAUCAUUUAGUGGAAUGUGAUACUUUGUAGGACAUGAUUUGGGAUGAACAAUCAAAGUAAGGGUUUGAAAGGCUUUUAGAUAGGUGCGCUUGAGUGUAUAAACAAGUGUUAUACAAGAGUUAUUUAUCUUCCGAUGGAGUCCUGUUUUACUUGUAAACUCUAACACUCGGUUGAAAUUUUUUUUGAAGUGAUUAUUUGUAUCAUUCACAUUUGUUACCUAUAUUCUCUUUACUUUUUUUUGAAUUAGGCCAAACUUCUCAAUUCCUUCAUGUCGCAAACAAUAGUUUCACUUUAAACUUACAGUUGUAAUUAAAUUCUUUGGUUAGAAUAGUUUGAUAGUGUUAGAUAAUGGGCAAUUUCUAUAGAUUUGAGAAGGAGGCGGCGGAUGUCAUUAUUAUAGCCCAAUAAUGUAUUUUAUAGUUUUUGUGCUAAUUGGUGUGAAUAGAUGUAUUUUAUGGGGUGUAUCUUAUUUGGGCUUAUACCUAUUUGGGAAGGACGAUAUCUAAAGAUGAACAAAAAAUAGAAUAAGAAUGAGAGAUUUGAGAAUUUAUCGUAAGAUGCAUUAAAUGAAAAGUGAUAGAAUUGUGUGAGUCAAUUCGAGAUGCGAUAGGCGAAUUUUACUAUCUUUGUGGUAUUGGUUUAGAGACUAUUGGGUGGUUUAAGUGGUUUCUUCGCCAACAUGUUCUUUUGGGAGGAGCUUGUUUUGCAAACGCUGUUUCUUUAUACUUAUGUGUCAUUCAUUAGAAAAAGAUAGGACAAUUGCAAAUUAUUUGAUAGAAAUUAGGAGAGACUGUUUAUGCGGCAGUUUAAUUUAUGCCUAAUGGCCAAGUAUUGAAGUUGCAUGGUGAAGUUAGCCAAAUCACGCUGCAGCCCAAUUUUUCAAUGACUGGCACGGCAGAUUGAGUAACUGGAGAAGUUUUCAAGGUUCGUUAAGGUAUAAUAUUUUUAUUAUUUUUUAUGUAUUAUAUCAAGUGUAGACAAAUAGAUUUUUUUUUUAAAUUUCCAUCAAUUUUUGUUUUGUAGAAUUUGCUUUAGAGCACUAUGAUGGCGUACAUGUUUUAAGUUGAAAGAUUCCAGCGAGAAGGUAAAGUAAGAUAUAGAACAAGAAAAUCAGAUCUGUUGAACUAAUGUUUUAGGAGUGUGUUCCUCAGCUGUGUAUUUUGCACUUUUAUGAUAUAUAUGCCCGCUGGAGGGUUGUGCAAUGAUUCUCGUGUUGCUUCGAGAUUGCUAUUACUAGAACCAUACGGAUUACGAGUGCUGCAAGGUAAGUUUUU
rnacentral:lncRNA from 1 species